rnacentral:misc_RNA from 1 species
GAUGAAGAACGUAGCGAAAUGCGAUAACUAGUGUGAAUUGCAGAAUUCCGUGAAUCAUCGAGUCUUUGAACGCACAUUGCGCCCGCUAGUAUUCUGGCGGGCAUGCCUGUCCGAGCGUCAUUUCAACCCUCAAGCCCCCGGGCUUGGUGUUGGGGAUCGGCGAGCCUCCGCGCCCGCCGUCCCCUAAAUCUAGUGGCGGUCUCGCUGUAGCUUCCUCUGCGUAGUAGCACACCUCGCACUGGGAAACAGCGCGGCCACGCCGUUAAACCCCCAACUUCUGAACGUUUGACCUCGGAUCAGGUAGGAAUACCCGCUGAACUUAAGCAUAUCAAUAAGCGGAGGA